GACGAACGCUGGCGGCGUGCUUAACACAUGCAAGUCGAACGGAAAGGCCCUGCUUUUGUGGGGUGCUCGAGUGGCGAACGGGUGAGUAACACGUGAGUAACCUGCCCUUGACUUUGGGAUAACUUCAGGAAACUGGGGCUAAUACCGGAUAGGAGCUCCUGCUGCAUGGUGGGGGUUGGAAAGUUUCGGCGGUUGGGGAUGGACUCGCGGCUUAUCAGCUUGUUGGUGGGGUAGUGGCUUACCAAGGCUUUGACGGGUAGCCGGCCUGUGAGGGUGAACGGCCACAUUGGGACUGAGAUACGGCCCAGACUCCUACGGGAGGCAGCAGUGGGGAAUAUUGCACAAUGGGCGGAAGCCUGAUGCAGCAACGCCGCGUGCGGGAUGACGGCCUUCGGGUUGUAAACCGCUUUCGCCUGUGACGAAGCGUGAGUGACGGUAAUGGGUAAAGAAGCACCGGCUAACUACGUG
rnacentral:rRNA from 1 species